rnacentral:lncRNA from 1 species
GGCAGAGCUCCCUGCAGCAGAGAAGCCCGCUUUGGAAAUAUAAAGCAGGCACUUGGCUCCUGCUGCUCGAUGGCCUCGGUGAGGGAUUGGGAAUUGACAGGUGUUAAACUGGCAGAAUUCUCCGUGCCACCAGGAGUUAAAGCUAAAGCCCGCACGAUUGAGAAAUCCGUACAAAUGACUUCCACCCAAGGGCAGGAUACAAAACUUCAGUGGAAGCAAAACCUUACUUAUAGGAACCCAGAAGAAAUGAACAUUCAGGAGCCAGUGUGGACUGCUUUUUUGCUUUGCUUUUUAGCCAGCCACCUUUCAUGAGGUAAUCAUGGAGUAUAAUCAGUUAUAUUUACUGUUGGGAUACUUUACCGGCAAACGCGUGUCUCCCUUCUCACAUACCAGCAAGGCCUGAAGCUGGCCUACCAGUUUUCAAGAGGAACGGUUACGCAAUGGUUAAGAAUCUGGUCACUGAAAUAAAAAUAAUC